rnacentral:rRNA from 1 species
CCUACGGGUGGCAGCAGUCGAGAAUCAUUCACAAUGGGGGAAACCCUGAUGGUGCGACGCCGCGUGGGGGAAUGAAGGUCUUCGGAUUGUAAACCCCUGUCAUGUGGGAGCAAAUUAAAAAGAUAGUACCACAAGAGGAAGAGACGGCUAACUCUGUGCCAGCAGCCGCGGUAAUACAGAGGUCUCAAGCGUUGUUCGGAAUCACUGGGCGUAAAGGGUGCGUAGGCGGUUUCGUAAGUCGUGUGUGAAAGGCGCGGGCUCAACCCGCGGACGGCACAUGAUACUGGGAGACUAGAGUAAUGGAGGGGUAACCGGAAUUCUCGGUGUAGCAGUGAAAUGCGUAGAUAUCGAGAGGAACACUCGUGGCGAAGGCGGGUUCCUGGACAUUAACUGACGCUGAGGCACGAAGGCCAGGGGAGCGAAAGGGAUUAGAUACCCGAGUAGUC